rnacentral:rRNA from 1 species
UGGCGAACGGGUGAGUAACGCGUGAGGAACCUGCCUCAAAGAGGGGGACAACAGUUGGAAACGACUGCUAAUACCGCAUAAGCCCACGACCCGGCAUCGGGUAGAGGGAAAAGGAGCAAUCCGCUUUGAGAUGGCCUCGCUCCGAUUAGCUAGUUGGUGAGGUAACGGCCCACCAAGGCGACGAUCGGUAGCCGGACUGAGAGGUUGAACGGCCACAUUGGGACUGAGACACGGCCCAG